GUCCGCGUCCCAGCACCCUCCCUCUCAGUGUCGGGCGUCUGGUCUGGCCCUGGGGCGCGCCUCUCGGCGCCGGCGGAUUACUGGCUGCUUGCGGGAUAGUCGAUUCGCCGGUUUUUCCGGCGCGCGCCGGGGACCAGGCCCCAACUACUGCCGCGAGCAACACCAGCCCCUUCUCUCUCCCGGCUUCGACGCGCCUCAGAGACGGGGGUCUCCUAUGUUGCCCAGGCUACUCUCCAACUCCUGGACACAAGCCAUCCUCCCACCUCGGCCUCCUAAAGUGAUGGGAUUACAGGGAUGAUCCACCAUACCCAGCCUUAACUCCUAUAAUCCUCACAAUUUCAGAAAGACUGCAUCGUUAUCCCAAUUUUAAAGAUGAGGAGAUUUAUUUAGCACUUGGAGUGAAGCAAAUGGCACUGCCGCAAUCCAAACCCUGAAUAUGAGGCUGUUAUUAUUAACCAUGUGGCUAUACCACAUCACAAAAUUGAUGUAAAACACAUCUCUACAACUUUCAUCGAAUUCCUUACUUAGAUAUUUUGAUUCUGAAAACACAUGAGCAUCAAACUAAUACUCUCUUCUACAGGCAGACAGUGGCCUUGAAAAUAUAGUCCAAAAGGGAGUGUGGUGAUACAUGAUUACAUUCAUUCUGAGACAGCAGUGUCACCACACCCCACCCAAGCCAGUGAUUCCUGUACAGAAGAAAUGGUUUAGAAAUCUGCCUCCACCUGGAGUUCUAGAGUAGCAGCAGAGGAUACAUCUUUUUAAGGAUUAAAAAAAAAUUUUUUUUGAGACGGAGUCUCACUUUGUUGCCCAGGCUGGAGCACAGUGGUACCAUCUCAGCUCACUGCAACCUCCACCUCCCAGGUUCAAGCAAUUCUAUUGCCCCAGCCUCCCGAGUAGCUGGGAUUACAGGUGUGUACCACCACACCCAGCUAAUUUUUGUGUUUUUAGUAGAGACGGGAUUUCACCAUGUUUGCCAGCCUGGUCUCAAACUCCUGACCUCAGGUGAUCCCCCUGCCUCGCCCACCCAAAGUGCUGGGAUUACAGGCAUGAGCCACCAUGCCUGGCCGGAUUUAAAAUAUUUUUGCUGGGUACUUUUGUUCAUGCUUGUAGUCCCAGCAAUCCUGGUGGCUGAGGUAGGAGGAUACCUUAAGCCCAGGAAUUGGAGGCUGCAGUGAGCUGAUGGCACCAUCACACUUCAGCCUAGGCAACAGGGAAGUACCCUGUCUCUCUCAAAAAUAAAUUAAAAAAAUGAAACAUUUUAAAUUUGCAUUUUCUUCAACAUCCUUCCAAAAGCCCAGCUUCUCUUAUUCUAAUAGUUGCUUGCCUUUAAGAUUCAUCUUGAGGACAAAUGAGGCUCUCUAAAAUAAGAUACAGUACUAAUCAAAAGAUAUUGACAACUUAAUAUGCCUUUUUCUGUCCACAUUAUGCUGUAAUGGAUAUUUAAAUUGGUUCUAGGAAUCCUUACAAUCCAGUCGGAAAUUAUUGUUUGAUUUUUCUUUGGCUGCCAUUGGAACAACUAAUGAGUUUCUCAGAAUCUUUGUGGUGAUUGCUUCAUGGUCUUGACAUAUUUCCAACAACCUGGAGCAGAAAUAUGAGGGCAAAGGCUGCUAUAUACUGUUAAGCAUUGCUCAGAGGACAUUAAUACUGCUCUAUAUUUUACAAUAUAUUUUCUAUCUUGAGCUUAACAUUGUAAUACAUCUUAAAAUUCUUGUAAUUCUAUCUUGAAAUUAACAUUGUAAUACAUGUAAUACAUCUUGACACUUUUGUAAUUCUAUCUUGAAACUAGCAUUGUAAUACAUCUUGACAAGUCAACUUUUAACAAACCCAGUGCUUUCUGUAGAGCCAUGGAGUCAGAAAUGCAGGAAUUAUAUGUAUAGCUUUAUCAGCCAA